GGAAUAUUGGACAAUGGGCGCAAGCCUGAUCCAGCCAUGCCGCGUGCAGGAUGACGGUCCUAUGGAUUGUAAACUGCUUUUAUACAGGAAGAAACAGUUCUACGUGUAGAACCUUGACGGUACUGUAAGAAUAAGGAUCGGCUAACUCCGUGCCAGCAGCCGCGGUAAUACGGAGGAUCCAAGCGUUAUCCGGAAUCAUUGGGUUUAAAGGGUCCGUAGGCGGUUUAAUAAGUCAGUGGUGAAAGCCCAUCGCUCAACGGUGGAACGGCCAUUGAUACUGUUAGACUUGAAUUAUUAGGAAGUAACUAGAAUAUGUAGUGUAGCGGUGAAAUGCUUAGAGAUUACAUGGAAUACCAAUUGCGAAGGCAGGUUACUACUAAUUGAUUGACGCUGAUGGACGAAAGCGUGGGUAGCGAACAGGAUUAGAUACCCCAG
rnacentral:rRNA from 1 species